rnacentral:rRNA from 1 species
UAAGAGGUCCCGCCUGCCCUGUGACUAUAUGUUUAACGGCCGCGGUAUUUUGACCGUGCGAAGGUAGCGCAAUCACUUGUCUUUUAAAUGAAGACCCGUAUGAAUGGCACGACGAGGGCCUAGCUGUCUCCUUUUUCAGGUCAAUGAAAUUGAUCUUCCCGUGCAGAAGCGGGAAUAAUCACAUAAGACGAGAAGACCCUAUGGAGCUUCAGACACAAGGCAGCCCACGUUAAUAACUUUCAAACAAGAAACAAAACUAAGUGGCGCCCUGCCAGAAUGUCUUUGGUUGGGGCGACCGCGGGGAAAAACAAAACCCCCAUGUGGAAAAGGAGGACACCUCCUACAACCCAGAGCCACUGCUCGAAGUAACAGAACUUCUGACCAAAAUGAUCCGGCAACGCCGAUCAACGGACCGAGUUACCCUAGGGAUAACAGCGCAAUCCUCUUCCAGAGCCCAUAUCGACAAGAGGGUUUACGACCUCGAUGUUGGAUCAGGACAUCCUAAUGGUGCAGCCGCUAUUAAGGGUUCGUUUGUUCAACG